rnacentral:snoRNA from 1 species
CUUCUGUGAAGAAAUGAUGACGAGUCUGAUUGGAGAUGUUACUUUGUCCAGGUGAUUUACUCUGUACUGAGUUCUGUGGCACAGUUUUGAGGAUCCUGGGUCAAAGUAACUCCUAAAGACGACCAACAGGCAUUUGUCUGAGAAGG